rnacentral:SRP_RNA from 1 species
CCCGCGUGGUGUGGACGCUCAGGGCGAACACGGGUCCCGGGAGGCUGGUGCAGAACCAUUUGAAUGCAGGAGCUUGAAUCUGGGCUGUGGUGCACUGUGCCCACGGGGGUAUCCACACUAAGUUUGGCGACAGUAUGGUGACCUCCUGGAAGUAGGGGACCACCAGGUUGCCCAAGGAGGAGUGAACAGGCUCAGGACUGAAACAGAGCAGGUCAAAACUCCCUUGCUGAUCAGUAGUAGGAUCAUGCCUGUGAACAGCCACUGCACUCCAGCCUGGGCAACAUGGCAAGACCCUGUCU